rnacentral:rRNA from 1 species
GAUGAACGCUGGCGGCGUGCCUAAUACAUGCAAGUCGAGCGAACGGACGAGAAGCUUGCUUCUCUGAUGUUAGCGGCGGACGGGUGAGUAACACGUGGAUAACCUACCUAUAAGACUGGGAUAACUUCGGGAAACCGGAGCUAAUACCGGAUAAUAUUUUGAACCGCAUGGUUCAAAAGUGAAAGACGGUCUUGCUGUCACUUAUAGAUGGAUCCGCGCUGCAUUAGCUAGUUGGUAAGGUAACGGCUUACCAAGGCAUCGAUGCAUAGCCGACCUGAGAGGAUGAUCGGCCACACUGGAACUGAGACACGGUCCAGACUCCUACGGGAGGCAGCAGUAGGGAAUCUUCCGCAAUGGGCGAAAGCCUGACGGAGCAACGCCGCGUGAGUGAUGAAGGUCUUCGGAUCGUAAAACUCUGUUAUUAGGGAAGAACAUAUGUGUAAGUAACUGUGCACAUCUUGACGGUACCUAAUCAGAAAGCCACGGCUAACUACGUG